CUUCACUAGGAGUUGCUUCUUACGGAUAAGCAAAGAAAGUGGUUUGAGCCUCAGGAAACCGCUUUCUUUGCUCAUCUGUAAGGAGCAACUCCUUAUCUGUUCAAGUUUUAUC
ensembl:miRNA MIR1255B2 microRNA 1255b-2